rnacentral:rRNA from 1 species
GCUCAGGACGAACGCUGGCGGCGUGCUUAACACAUGCAAGUCGAACGGAGAACUUAUUUCGGUAAGUUCUUAGUGGCGAACGGGUGAGUAACGCGUGGGCAACCUGCCCUCCAGUUGGGGACAACAUUCCGAAAGGGAUGCUAAUACCGAAUGUGCUCCCUCCUCCGCAUGGAGGAGGGAGGAAAGAUGGCCUCUGCUUGCAAGCUAUCGCUGGAAGAUGGGCCCGCGUCUGAUUAGCUAGUUGGUGGGGUAACGGCUCACCAAGGCGAUGAUCAGUAGCCGGUCUGAGAGGAUGAACGGCCACAUUGGGACUGAGACACGGCCCAAACUCCUACGGGAGGCAGCAGUA